rnacentral:rRNA from 1 species
GAUGAACGCUGGCGGCGUGCCUAAUACAUGCAAGUCGAGCGAACAGACGAGAAGCUUGCUUCUCUGAUGUUAGCGGCGGACGGGUGAGUAACACGUGGAUAACCUACCUAUAAGACUGGGAUAACUUCGGGAAACCGGAGCUAAUACCGGAUGAUAUUUUGAACCGCAUGGUUCAAUAGUGAAAGACGGUCUUGCUGUCACUUAUAGAUGGAUCCGCGCUGCAUUAGCUAGUUGGUAAGGUAACGGCUUACCAAGGCAACGAUGCGUAGCCGACCUGAGAGGGUGAUCGGCCACACUGGAACUGAGACACGGUCCAGACUCCUACGGGAGGCAGCAGUAGGGAAUCUUCCGCAAUGGGCGAAAGCCUGACGGAGCAACGCCGCGUGAGUGAUGAAGGUCUUCGGAUCGUAAAACUCUGUUAUUAGGGAAGAACAAAUGUGUAAGUAACUGUGCACAUCUUGACGGUACCUAAUCAGAAAGCCACGGCUAACUACGUG